UGGGGAAUUUUGGACAAUGGGCGAAAGCCUGAUCCAGCAAUGCCGCGUGUGUGAAGAAGGCCUUCGGGUUGUAAAGCACUUUUGUCCGGAAAGAAAUCCUUGGCUCUAAUACAGUCGGGGGAUGACGGUACCGGAAGAAUAAGCACCGGCUAACUACGUGCCAGCAGCCGCGGUAAUACGUAGGGUGCAAGCGUUAAUCGGAAUUACUGGGCGUAAAGCGUGCGCAGGCGGUUUGCUAAGACCGAUGUGAAAUCCCCGGGCUCAACCUGGGAACUGCAUUGGUGACUGGCAGGCUAGAGUAUGGCAGAGGGGGGUAGAAUUCCACGUGUAGCAGUGAAAUGCGUAGAGAUGUGGAGGAAUACCGAUGGCGAAGGCAGCCCCUGGGCCAAUACUGACGCUCAUGCACGAAAGCGUGGGGAGCAAACAGGAUUAGAUACCCUGGUAGUCCACGCCCUAAACGAUGUCAACUAGUUGUUGGGGAUUCAUUUCCUUAGUAACGUAGCUAACGCGUGAAGUUGACCGCCUGGGGAGUACGGUCGCAAGAUUAAAACUCAAAGGAAUUGACGGGG
rnacentral:rRNA from 1 species